rnacentral:rRNA from 1 species
ACACCGGCAGCUCAAGUGGUAGCCGCUUUUAUUGGGCCUAAAGCGUCCGUAGCCGGCCUGAUAAGUCUCUGGUGAAAUCCCGCAGCUUAACUGUGGGAAUUGCUGGAGAUACUAUCAUGACUCGAGGUCGGGAGAGGCUGGAGGUACUCCCAGGGUAGGGGUGAAAUCCUGUAAUCCUGGGAGGACCACCUGUGGCGAAGGCGUCCAGCUGGAACGAACCGGACGGUGAGGGACGAAAGCCAGGGGCGCGAACCGGAUUAGAUACCCGGGUAGUCCUGGCCGUAAACGAUGUGGACUUGGUGUUGGGAUGGCUUCGAGCUGCCCCAGUGCCGAAGGGAAGCUGUUAAGUCCACCGCCUGGGAAGUACGGCCGCAAGGCUGAAACUCAAAGGAAUUGACGGGG